rnacentral:sRNA from 1 species
AUGGACCACGCGCCACUGCGGUUCUGAGCGCGCCGUCCGCGCCCACCUGACAGCUGCUCGCUACGUUCUGUUCGCC